rnacentral:lncRNA from 1 species
AAAGUGUAAGCUGCAUAAUUUCGAAGUACCCCGUAAUACUUGAGAAAACAAAAUGCUUGGAAGAGCAGCCUUUGGUGUAAUCUUCACCCUGUUGUGGAUUAUCAUCCUAUUCCACUCAUUUGAGACGGCUGCGGCCAUUCGAUUCUUCAAUAAUUUUUCAGCAGCAUGUGGGGGGUGAGUAUACUUUUUUACUACUUUAUUUUUAUUACAUGCAUGUUGGUUGGCUUUGUGUAUGACCCUGGCCUCUCCCCGUUGCUUAAAUUAGUUUGUUGAUAACUCUCUCCCUCUCUUUUUUUUUUUUUUCUUUUCUCUUAUUAUGUCACAUGAUCCCUGCAAUUCAACUUUAUAUUGUAGUUAAAAAAAAAAGAAAAAAAAAAGAAGAAAACAAAACUGUGUAUUUUGUAGUCAUAGUCUCCAAUCGAUGAUCUUAUUAUCCCCAUUGCCUGUAAAGUGCCUUUUGCCCACCCCAUGAAUUAUUUGGCAACCCUGUUAGAAUGUUUGAUGACUUCUUUAGAAUCCAUCACCUACAUUCAUUCCCAUUUUCAUGAACAUACCCUUUUGGUGUGCAUAACGGAUGUUAGCUACUGCUAUAUAUUUAUAGCAAAUUUCUUUGAAAAUUUUUAUUUCAGAAAUUUAGUAAUUUUCCAAUUCACUUAAACAGUUUUAAUAAACAACACAUUCAAGACAGUUUCCUUUUCUGUGUUGGAUAGCCGUAAAAGUGAUAAAGCCAAGGCCAUAUUGCAGGAUUUUUAUGCUCAUUAGAUUUACAUGCAUAUAAUACUCUUAUUUUCCUGAAACUACAGGAGCCAAGAGCCAGGCUAUGUAGACCCAGGCUGCUCUCCACAGAGUCCACAUCCGUAGGGGAUUUUGCUAAUUAGCAUCUCCAACAUCUUGGUCCUUACACCAGUAAUUUUAGUGAACAGUCGUUUGACAAUUAUAUCAAAUUCAUUAAUGGGUGUCACAAUUUAGAUUCUUGCUGCUGUGUGGUAAGAGAAUAUUUUCCAUGCAGAGUGCUGCUGUAUUUCAGUUUCUUCAAGAUAUAUUAAAAGGAGUUUCUCUAUAUAUGUCGGAAAUGUUGAUUGUAUAAAGUUUUGUGUAUUUUGUUUGUGAGCUGGAAUUUGGUCUUUUCUUUUUAGGAAAAGGUAAAAGAAACAAGCACUAAAAUUCAGAGUUUUGAAAUCAAAGUAAAGAUCGAAGACAAUGAAUAGUCAGUUGACCAUUACAACUGAAUCGUGUCCCAGCUUCCAAAGACGAUCCCCGGAAAAGAAAAU